AACGAACGCUGGCGGCAUGCCUAACACAUGCAAGUCGAACGAGACCUUCGGGUCUAGUGGCGCACGGGUGCGUAACGCGUGGGAACCUGCCCUUAGGUUCGGAAUAACUCCCCGAAAGGGGUGCUAAUACCGGAUAAUGUCUUCGGACCAAAGAUUUAUCGCCUUUGGAUGGGCCCGCGUUGGAUUAGCUAGUUGGUAGGGUAAAAGCCUACCAAGGCGACGAUCCAUAGCUGGUCUGAGAGGAUGAUCAGCCACACUGGGACUGAGACACGGCCCAGACUGCGACGGGAGGCAGCAGUGGGGAAGAGUGGACAAUGGGCGAAAGCAUGAUCGAGCAAUGCCGCGUGAGAGAUGAAGGCCUUAGGGUUGUAAAGCCAUGUGACCCGGGAUGAUAAUGACAGUACCGGGAGAAUAAGCUCCGGCUAACUCCGUG
rnacentral:rRNA from 1 species